rnacentral:rRNA from 1 species
CGUAGGGCGCAAGCGUUGUCCGGAAUUAUUGGGCGUAAAGAGCUCGUAGGCGGUUUGUCGCGUCUGCUGUGAAAGCCCGGGGCUUAACCCGUCGGUGUGCAGUGGGUACGGGCGAGACUUGAGUGCAGUAGGGGAGGACUGGAAGUUCCUGGUGUAGCGGUGAAAUAGCGCAGAUAUCAGGAGGAACACCGAUGGCGAAGGCGAGGUCGUCUGGGCGUGUUACUGACGCUGAGGAGCGAAAGCAUGGGGAGGCGAACAGGAUU